UUUUCUAAAAUUACCCUGUACUUUAUGAAUAAAAUAAGCAUCUUGAGAAAAAGAGUUUUUCCUUGAAUAUUGUGGUGAGCCUUAAUGCCAUACAACGUUUCUCCUUACGAGAGCAACAAAGAAAAACAAAUAUACAGACGAGAAGGCGAUGUGGAGACAAAGAGAGAAAUUAGAGUAAUGCAACUGCAAGCCCAGGACUGCGGAGACAGCCACCAGAAGCUGGAAGCGAUAAGGAAUAGAUUCUCCCCUAGAGUCCCUGGAGAGAACAUGGCCUUGCCAACACCUUGAUUUUAACCAUUGUGGUGAUAUUGAUUAGGACUUCUGGCCUCUGGAACUACAAGAGAAUAUAUUUCUUCACCAAGUUUGUUGUAAUUUGUUACAGCAGUCAUAGGAAAUGAAUACACUGAGUAUAAUGCAGGAAAUAUGCAAGCAGACAGAACCACCGGAAGUGAGGAAUAUGUGCCUGGAGAUUGCAAUUGACAGUAAGGGUCAGGAACAUCCCCAUUGGAGGGGCAGCUUUGCCUUCCCUUCAUAUCUCAAUAUGCUGCGUGUUAACAUGGCUGCUCUGACUCCAUCCAUUUACCUCAAAAUCCUCACUUCUGCUUUUGGUGUACUUCUCAUCCUGCCCUUGUUUUCCGGAUCUCCUGGGCCCUUUCCAGAGCUUGGACUUCCCAGCCUCCAGAAUCAUGAGUGAAUACAUUUCUAUUCAUAAAAGGUUACAAGUGUGCCUGCUCUCCUGCCUCUUCUUUCAGCGCCUCCACCUCUCCUGCCUCUGACACUCCUGAGACAGCAAGACCAACCCCUUCUCUUCCUCCUCCUCUUCAGUUUACAGAAGAUGAAGACAAGAAGGAUGAAGACCUUUAUGAUGAUCCACUUCUAUUUAAUAAGUAGUAAAUACAUUUUAUCUUGUGAUUUUUCUUUAUAACAUUUUCUUUUCUUUAGCUUUAUUUAUUGUAAAAAUAAAGUUUAUAACACAUAUAAUAUAAAAAAUAUAUGUUAAUUGACUGUUUAAGUUUUCAGUAUGGCUUCCCGUCAACACUAGGCUAUGAUUAGUUACGUUUUUAAGGAGUCAAAAGUUAUACUCACAUUUUCAACUGUGCAGGGGGUUGGCACUCCUAAUGCUUUGCAUUAUUCAAGAGUCAACUGUAUUUCCUUUAAGGUAAUUAACCAUAUUUCAACAUGGUUAGUCAUAUUAGCUAUUCUUCUUUUUGAUUUUUAGUACAUUAAUUGUAAAGAUAUUCACUUACACAUCAUAGCUGCUCAGUGAAUGGUUGAAUGACUUAAGGAAUCAUUGCAUGAAUUAAAGAUGGCCAAUAUAUCUUCUUGUGAACUUUGUUGGAUCAAAGUUGAAGAUUAUAAUUGCUGAUGUUUUAACAUUCUCAAAAAUCUUGUGAGAAUUAAAACAGCAUUGUUAUAAAUUUUUAUUUCAAAUGCUCUUUUAACAAAUGUGUUCCCUCUGAUUCCUAAAACCACCAUGCUGGGAACAAGAGUAAAUUUUACUUUUCCUAGUUUAUAGGUAAGGUAAUUAAAGCUUCUUGGAAAAGUUCCUUGACAGAGUCAAAGGCUAAAACCUGGACAGACUUAUCUAUAUAGAGCAUUCCUCACUUCCAGUUUUGCUGUUAUUCACCAAACCAUGAUUAUUUCGUGCAAUGGAAACAUUGAACUGUACAAUACUCUUAAAUUUCACUUAUUCUGAAAGGCAUUUACUCAUCCCAGCAUUCCCUAAAUUCAAAGGAGAACUUGAAUAACAACCUGGAAGACUCAACUACCUGACCGUUCCAGAGUUGACAAUGAUUUGGCUGGCUUUCAGCAGACACUUCUCUUUAAGUGUUACUUCACUGAACAAGACACUAUAUGAUAAUGCUAUUUCACUGACCUUCCCCUGCUUCCUACCACAGGUUUAAAUUAUCUGCAAUUUUUGUGAAAACAGUGCAAACCCCUGUGGAUAAGAGCUGAAAAGGAAUAUCAUUUAAUGAAAACCAGUGAUAACUUGAGGAAAAUUGGUUAAGAAAAGUCCAAAGUUUUCAACUUAAUUACUUAAAUGGAAGAAUGAAAAUGUUUUCAGAUAUUUUUUGUUUUGAUGUGAAUAAAUAAAUCAAUUUAAAAUUUAAGUUUUAACAAGUAAAUGGUUAUACCAUCCUAUAUCCUGUUUAAUAUGUUAUUUUUAUGCCGAAGUUCAGCUUAAGUAUCAUGUAGAGCUAUCAAUACUGGUGAUCUAAAGUUUACCUUUCAGCCGGGUGCAGUAGCUCAUGCUUGUAAUCCCAGCACUCUGGGAGGCUGAGGCAGGAGGAUCAUUUGAGGCCAGGAGACUAGCCUGGGCCACAUAGUGACACUCCAUCUCUAAAAAACAAAACAAAACAAAAUAAAAUAAAAUAAAUAAAAUAAAAUACAGAGAGAACUCAGAUCUACAUCAAAAAGGAAGAGUACUUGAAAAGAAAUGAAGGUAAAAUAAAAUUUAAAAAAAUUUAAAAUAACAUUUACCUUUUACUGACUUUGAUUUAGGAGAAGAUUAUAGUUCUUCAUUAGCAAUUGUAAGACAGAGGCAAUAGUCUAUGUUGGUGAGGGAAACAUAAAAUUUUGUUUUUUACUCUGAAGAUUAUUAUGGGAUUCUCUUUCUCACCUUGCCUCAUAUUUUCUCUGCCUGUCUCCAUCUCUCUCUCUCUCUCUCUCUCAAAUGCAGUAUUCCUGUUAAUUGUGAAGUAUCUACAGAUACAUAUUCUCUCUAGGCACACAUCUGUAAAUAUAAUUUAUUUGUUAUACAAAGAAACACAUCUCC
rnacentral:lncRNA from 1 species